rnacentral:rRNA from 1 species
GGAUGAACGCUGACAGAAUGCUUAACACAUGCAAGUCUUUGGCGAAGCUGUGCUUGCACAGCCUAGCCAAGGCGGACGGGUGAGUAACGCGUAAGGAACUUGCCCUGCAGUCAGGGAUAACAGACGGAAACGACUGAUAAGACCUGGUAAAGUCAGGCGGACUCAUGUCCAGCCUGAUGAAAAGAGAUGCUGCAGGAGAGCCUUGCGUCCUAUUAGCUUGUUGGUGGGGUAACGGCCCACCAAGGCGAUGAUAGGUAGCCGGCCUGAGAGGGUGGACGGCCACAAGGGGACUGAGAUACGGCCCUUACUCCUACGGGAGGCAGCAGUGGGGAAUAUUGGACAAUGGGGGCAACCCUGAUCCAGCAAUUCUGUGUGCACGAUGAAGGUUUUCGGAUUGUAAAGUGCUUUCAGCAGGGAAGAAAAAAUGACGGUACCUGCAGAAGAAGCGACGGCUAAAUACGUG